rnacentral:lncRNA from 1 species
UGAACAUUAAACAAAAUAACACAACAUCGGGUUCACCAUAAUUCAAACCAUAAUAAAAGAAACCAUGAUUCACGCAUACGAAACCAUAAAAUAAACACAUCAGAUACCAUACUGCAUUUAAAACUAUAAAAUAGAUCAAACAAAAACUGACCGACAAAUACACCAGAUUCGGGCUCUAUUAGCAACCUUAAGCAAUUAUACACAUCCAUUAAUUCACGAAAAUACUGUUUUAUCAUUUAUUGAACUUUAAU